ACAGGCUUUUUCCUCCAUGGAUCAAUGAUUUAAAUGACUUUAAACGGUGCAUAGGAGGUUCAAAUUCAUUUACAUAGUGACUUUAUACCUUUCAAAUUAUUUAAGAUCUUUUUAGAUCAUGCCAUCUCCUGGUGAUUCUGGUAAAGAAGCAUGCCAAGGUAGUAAACCAUGCGGCCAAAAUUGUAAAUGUGGCCCUAAUUGCAAAUGUGGAUCAAAUUGCCAAUGUGGGCAAAGUUCAGGUUGUGGUUCAUGUCCCUCUGGGAAUCAAUGUUGUGUAAAGAAAUAAAAAUGCCAGAAAUGAUUAACAUAUUUUGACAUUAUAUCACCCACCAAUAGAAUGUUUUGGCUUUGUUAUAUUUAUAAGCGACAAUAAAUAAAUUGUUUUUAUCUUAUUUGAGCAUGACACGUGUAUCUGAUAAAAAAUUAUAUAGAUCUUUAACAUUA